CUUUGAAUUAAUAAUCACGUUAUCGUUGAUCACAGUUGGAUUCUAAUUUGUGAUGUGUCGUGGUGAGCUGUUUGGUAGCAACUAGCAUUGUUCGUAUAGUACAAAGUCAAAAAUACUGCACUGAAAUGUCAGAUUGUGUCGUUGAAAAAAACAAAAGCUUCGCUGCCUUCUUUGUUUUCUUCAAGAUCUCAAUUGACUGCAAAAUGGCUCAUAUCAUUUCAUUUAUAAGAAGAACAUUGAUACAAUCAGGUGGAUAAUCAAAAAGUUGUAAGGUGUGUGAUAAUAUACAUGUGUAACUUGUUAAUGGAUAGAGCUUUCAACGAAAGUGGAAGGGGAAAUACAAGAAUCUUUCCCUAAGGUGUACCACCUCUAUACAAAAAGAAAUUAUAUUUUGGCCCUAAGUUGUCUUGCUUGUAGAGACAGGUUCCUUGGAGGGAUUGUUGGUGAAAGUGAUGGAGUUCGUGCACAAUAUUCAUUGCUUAAAAUAAAUAUAGCAACUACUUUCAAGAAGAAAAUUCGUUGAAUGCAUUCAAUCAUGAAUAUACUCAACAGUUGUUUAAAAUCACUUUCUCUUUGCCCAUAUUAGAAUGGGAGUUUCGAAACCCUAAAUGAGAAAAUGGGGAAAAGAAGCACCCUUUUGUAGUUAAUGGUGAUCAUUUUAAAGGAAGGGUCGAGGCUAGCAGUGUGGGGGAGUCCUUGCUCUAGCAGUAAUGUGGCAAACAAAGUUGUAGUCGAUGUGAAUGCAGGAGAUCUUGAAUUCAGUGUUGUCUUAGAUACAUGCAUAAGAUGAUCAACGAUUUGAGGUCCUCAUUUUGAGGGGCCAUAACUUUUAAAAAAUCUAUAAAAAAUUAUUAACUUCAUUUUGGUGAA